rnacentral:rRNA from 1 species
GUCUACAGCCAUGCUACCCUGAACAAGCCCGAUCCAGUCUGAUCUCAGAAGCUAAGCAGGGUUGGCCCUGGUUAGUAUUUGGAUGGGAGACCACCUAGGAAGACCAAGUGCUGUAGGCA